rnacentral:rRNA from 1 species
CUAUGUCUGGAAGUGGCACACUGCUCAGUAACACGUAGCUAACCUACCCUUAGGACGUGGAUACCCCCGAGAAAUUGGGGUUAAUCCGCGAUAGGUGUAAUGUCCUGGAAUGGUAUUACGCCUAAAGGUGUAUCAUACAUGUUUGAUAUACGCCUAAGGAUGGGGCUGCGGCCGAUCAGGCUGUUGGUGAGGUAAUGGCUCACCAAACCUUUGACCGGUACGGGCCAUGAGAGUGGUAGCCCGGAGAUGGACACUGAGACAAGGGUCCAGGCCCUAAGGGGCGCAGCAACCGCGAAACCUCCACAAUGCACUCACGUGCGAUGGGGCUAUCUCGAGUGCCACCUGAUGAAGGUGGCUUUUCCUAGGUCUUCAAAGCCUUGGGAAUAAGAGGGGGGCAAGACUGGUGUCAGCCGCCGCGGUAACACCAGCCCCUCGAGUGGUGGGGAUGAUUAUUUGGCCUAAAGCGUCCGUAGCCGGCCGAGCAAGUCUUCCGUUAAAUCCAGCGUCUCAAGCGUUGGACUGCGGGAGAUACUACACGGCUAGAGAGUGGGAGAGGUCAGCGGUAUUCUGGGGGUAGGGGCGAAAUCCUUUGAUCCCCGGAGGACCACCAGUGGCGAAGGCUGCUGACUAGAACACGUCUGACGGUCAGGGACGAAAGCUGGGGUAGCGAACCGGAUUAGAUACCCGGGUAGUCCCAGCCGUAAACGAUGCAUGCUAGGUGUUGGGUUGGCCACGAGCCACCCCAGUGCCGCAGGGAAGCCGUUAAGCAUGCCGCCUGGGAAGUACGAUCGCAAGAUUGAAACUUAAAGGAAUUGGCGGGGGAGCACCACCAGGCGUGAAGCCUGCGGUUUAAUUGGAUUCAACGCCGGA